AAUGCAGUCGAGCGGAUCUUUGUCCUUCGGGACAAGGUUAGCGGCGGACGGGUGAGUAACACGUGGGUAACCUGCCUGUAAGACUGGGAUAACAUUCGGAAACGAAUGCUAAUACCGGAUACGCAGCUUGGUCGCAUGACCGGGCUGGGAAAGAUGGAGCAAUCUAUCACUUAUAGAUGGACCCGCGGCGCAUUAGCUAGUUGGUGAGGUAACGGCUCACCAAGGCGACGAUGCGUAGCCGACCUGAGAGGGUGAUCGGCCACACUGGGACUGAGACACGGGCCAGACUCCUACGGGAGGCAGCAGUAGGGAAUCUUCCGCAAUGGACGAAAGUCUGACGGAGCAACGCCGCGUGAGUGAUGAAGGUUUUCGGAUCGUAAAGCUCUGUUGCCAGGGAAGAAUGCUUGGGAGAGUAACUGCUCCCAAGGUGACGGUACCUGAGAAGAAAGCCCCGGCUAACUACGUGCCAGCAGCCGCGGUAAUACGUAGGGGGCAAGCGUUGUCCGGAAUUAUUGGGCGUAAAGCGCGCGCAGGCGGCCUUGUAAGUCUGUUGUUUAAACUUGGGGCUCAACCCCAAGUCGCAAUGGAAACUGC
rnacentral:rRNA from 1 species